GUGCUAUAGCUUGUUGUCGGAUACUGAUAAAUGGGUCAAACAACAUUCAAAUCAAAAGGGCAGAGAAGCCAGGGUAGCGCACCUCCAUAUCCGGGUUACUGUUAACCAACUACGAACACAGGACAGUUAACAGGAUUCACGCUCAAUUAAGCCAGGUUAUUAAAAGGGCGGAACCAGAGGCCUAACCAUGUCUUCCAAUAAGACACAACAGCUCCAGAAAGACGUAGAUGAUUUGACGAAGAUCAUGCAAGAAAAUGUUGAAAAAAUUCUGGAAAGAGGAGAUAAGAUUGAAGAUUUGACUGAUCAUGCAAAUGGAGUAAAAUGUUGACUUAUCAAUAUUUAUCGCUUGUAGACGAAUUAGAGCAAAACUCUGCAGGAUUUAAAAAGACGGCUAAACAGGUCAAGACACAAAUGUGGUGGAAAAAUACAAAGUUAACGAUCUUGUUGGUUGUCAUUGUGCUGUUAAUUAUCACGAUUAUUGUUCUGGCUGCUUGGCGACCAUGGAAAUAACGUAUCGGGAUGGCGUCUCUCGACACCCAUGGCAACGGAGAACAACUUGAGACAACUAAGAAACAUUUCUAACAUACUUUUGAUUGCGAGUGCUAUGCUGGAUUAUAGUGCCGUAAAUGGGUUGUAAACUGUCAUCUUUAUUGUAGGUUUAUAUAAACAUUCGUAUCAUAAACGUAAUAAGUUAUAUCUAUGUAUUAGCAAUGACGUCACGAUUGAGCGACGUUCAUCGGCUGUCUAUCAUUCCCAAUGCUAAUACCAUAUUUAUUCAAAUAAUGCCUCGGGCGUUUAUUGUUGGGAAGGAAUUGGGGUAGCUUAUUUUUUAUUUAUUUUUUUUUUUUUGUAAAAAUGGUUACGAUAAUGUACUCAAAUAAACGCCCCUUAAUUUCACUGUAAAUGUGGAAUUACAACAUAAUUACCGUCAAAAUGUGUUAUUGCGUGAUCAUAGAAUUGAUCCCAAUCAAAAAUGUAAUUCUAUCUAUUGGAGUAGAAUAUUAUUGAGAAUAUUAUUGUGUUGAGAAUGAUGUUGCUUCCAUUUGCUUACAAUCAUUUAGGGGGGCGUUUAUUCGAGGAAAAAAUAAACGCCCGGGACGUUUAUUCGAGGGACGCUCCGAAGCUUAUUCAAGGGGUGGGGUGUUUAUUCAAAGUGGGGAGUUUAUAGAAUAAAUACGGUUUAAUUAAGGUACCAAAGCUUACUUAGAAAAAAAAAGUUAUUGUUAACAUUUUUCUGUUUUAAAUAUAACAUAGGGCCUAGUCAGACACUAGCUUCCAAGCGACUUUUAAUAUUUAUAGUUAUUGACGUUAAAUACGGUAUAGAUCGAGAGUCGCAUCUCUUUACAUACUUUUAUUGAUUUUAUCAAUGAAAUUACACAAUAAUAAUAAUAAUAGUAAUAAUAAUAAAUAAUAUAUUUAUAUAGGAUUUCACAGUUAAGUAUAAACCUGUUUUUCGCUGUGGUCCUGUUAGAGAAAUGUAAUACAGUACGAUUCGACACAAUCAGGAAAAUACAUAAGACAUAUACCUAGACUUUAGUGUGUUAAUUGAGAGCGAGUGUUUGAUAUCAGCUGGUAGUUUGUUCCAGACUUUAGCGCCAGCUACCUAGCUACCUUAAAAGAAAAAACAAAUUACUUAAUGUAUAUAGGAGCACAGCAACAUUAAAAUUCGUGUUAAGUGUUAAGUGAGUACUGUAUGUCUUUCACUAACAAUUUCAAUUUCAGAAUUGUCACCAAAGCAAUAUAGGUUACAUAGAGAUAUGAGCCUCUAUAUGCAAAUUAGGUACACUCUACUGACAGUAAAACCGAAAUGUUCACUGAUUAAUCUAUAAGAUAAUAUAAUACAUACUCCAAGUAUCGAAAAGCACGCCAAGAUACACGAUGGCGUGUAUUUCGAUACUUGGAGUAUUUACUUUAAACUGACAAUAUGAAACAAAUCUGAACAACGAUUAACUUAACUAAAUAUUUAAAUAUUGUAAACCUGUAUGUUUCAAAAUUAGGACUUUUGAAAUUAUAUUAUUAUUAUGUUAAAAUAAAGAUAGAAAUAAACUGUAUAUUUACGCAAUCGUGUA